rnacentral:tRNA from 1 species
GGAUACAGCUCAGUUGGUAGAGUACUUGCCUCGAAUGUACUGAGGCCCUGGGUUCAAUUCUCAGCACCA